UUACGGCCACAUCACGUUGAAAGACCGGUUCCGCAUCACAUUGCAACAACGUACGAUUACCGAAGUUAAGCAACAUCGAGCCUGGUCAGUACUUAGAUGGGUGACCGAAUGGAAAUCCCAGGUGAUGUAAG